GGAGAGGAGAGGAGAGGAGAGGAGAGGAGAGGAGGAAGGUGAAGAUGAGAGGUGAGGAGGAAGAUGAGGAGGAAGGUAAAGAGGAAGGAGAGGAGGAAGACGAGGAAGGUGAGGAGAGGAGGGAGGUGAGGACGGAGGAGAGGAGGAAGGCUGGGAGGAAGAAGAGAAGGAAGGCAAGGAGGAAGGAGAGGAGGAAGAGGAGAGGAGGAAAGCAAGAAGGAAGGGGAGGAGGAAGACGAGGAGAGGAGAGGGGUGAGGAGGAAGAAGAGGAGAGGAGGAAGACAAGGAGGAAGGUGAAGAGGAAGGUGGAGGGGAAGGAGAGGAGGAAGGUGAGGAGAGGAGAGAAGUGAGGAGGAAGAAGAGGAGGAAGGCAAGGAGGAAGGGGAGGAGGAAGAGGAGAAGAGGAAGGCAAGGAGGAAGAUGAAGAGGUAGAUGAGGGCAGGAGAGAGGUGAGGAGGAAGAUGAGGAGGAAGAAGAGAAGGAAGAAGAGGACGGAGAAGAGGAGAGGAGGAAGACAAGGAGGAAGGUGAGGAGGAAGGUAGAGGGGAAGGAGAGGAGGAGGAAGGAGAGGAAAGGAGGAAGGAGAGCAGGAAGGUGAAGGUGAGGAAGAUGAGUAGAGGAGGAAGAAGAGGAUGGAGAAGAGGAGAGGAGGAAGGUGAGAAGGAAGGGGAGGAGGAAGAUGAGAGGAGAGGGGUGAGGAGGAAGAAGAGGAGGAAGAUGAGGAGGGAGAAGAGGAGAGGAGGAAGGCAAGGAGGAAGGCGAAGAGGAAGGUGGAGGGGAAGGAGAGGAGGAAGGUGAGGACAGGAGAGAGGUGAGGAGGAAGGAGAGGAGGAAGACGACAAAGAUGAGGAGGAAGGAGAGGAGGGAGAAGAGGAGAGGAGGAAGGCAAGGAGGAAAGUGAGGAGGAAGGUGAGGAGGAGGAAGGUGAGGAGGAGGAAAGAGAGGACAGGAAAGGAGGAGAAAGGUGAGGAGAGGAGGAAGGAGAGGAGGAAGAUGAGGAGGAAGGAGAGGACGGAGAAGAGGAGAGGAGGAAGACAAGGAAGAAGGCAAAGAGGAAGGUAAAGAGCAAGGAGUGGAGGAAGAUGAGGAGGAAGAAGAGAAGGAAGACAAGGAGGAAGGAGAGGAGGAAGAUGAGGAGAGAGGUGAGGAGGAAGAUAAGGAGGAAGGAGAGGAGGAAGAUGAGGAGAGAGGUGAGGAGGAAGAAGAGGAGGAAGAAGGGAAGGAAGGAGAGGAGGAAGAUGAGGAGAGAGGUGAGGAGGAAGAUGAGGAGGAAGAAGAGAAGGAAGAGGAGGAAGAAGAGGAGAGAGGUGAGGAGGAAGAUGAGGAGGAAGAAGAGAAGGAAGAGGAGGAAGAAGAGGAGGAAGAAGAGGAGGAGGAAGAAGCAGAGGGGAGUAAAGGAGGAGAAAGGUGAGGAGAGGGGGAGGGAGAGGAGGAAGAUGAGGAGGAAGGCGAAGAGGAAAGUGGGAAGGAGAGGAAGAAGGCGAGGAGGAAGAAGAGGAGGAAGAAGAGAAGGAAGGAGAG
rnacentral:lncRNA from 1 species